UACGUAGGGUGCAAGCGUUAAUCGGAAUUACUGGGCGUAAAGCGUGCGCAGGCGGUGAUGUAAGACAGGUGUGAAAUCCCCGGGCUUAACCUGGGAACUGCAUUUGUGACUGCAUCGCUGGAGUGCGGCAGAGGGGGAUGGAAUUCCGCGUGUAGCACGUGAAAUGCGUAGAUAUGCGGAGGAACACCCGAUGGCGAAGGCAAUCCCCUGGGC
rnacentral:rRNA from 1 species